rnacentral:rRNA from 1 species
ACGAACGCUGGCGGCAUGCCUAACACAUGCCAGUCGAACGAGACCUUCGGGUCUAGUGGCGCACGGGUGCGUAACGCGUGGGAACCUGCCCUUAGGUUCGGAAUAACUCCCCGAAAGGGGUGCUAAUACCGGAUAAUGUCUUCGGACCAAAGAUUUAUCGCCUUUGGAUGGGCCCGCGUUGGAUUAGCUAGUUGGUAGGGUAAAGGCCUACCAAGGCGACGAUCCAUAGCUGGUCUGAGAGGAUGAUCAGCCACACUGGGACUGAGACACGGCCCAGACUCCUACGGGAGGCAGCAGUGGGGAAUAUUGGACAAUGGGCGAAAGCCUGAUCCAGCAAUGCCGCGUGAGUGAUGAAGGCCUUAGGGUUGUAAAGCUCUUUUACCCGGGAUGAUAAUGACAGUACCGGGAGAAUAAGCUCCGGCUAACUCCGUG